rnacentral:misc_RNA from 1 species
GUAUAGGUUUAAUGACUGCGACAAGCACAAUCUUUAAAAGACAUUCUGUAACUUUAUAGUGUAUAUGAAAACGUAGUCCCUCUGAAGAAAGCAAGACGGACAGGUGCAGUGCGCUUGCGCGCUCACGCUCCAAUAACUGCUAUUCAUUCAAAAAGACUACAAAAGGUGCACAAGAGAAGAUAAAUAGUUAUGGAUCGAGCACAUGCUCAGUGAAGAGCCAGCAUCAGAACCAAACGUAUUCAAUAAUGAUCCUUCCGCAGGUUCACCUACGGAAA